GAGUGUAGAGGAGGCAGGUAGCCUAGUGGUUAGAGCGUAGAGGUUGCAGGUAGCCUAGUGGUUAGAGUGUAGAGGUUGCAGGUAGCCUAGUGGUUAGAGUGUAGAGGAGGCAGGUAGCCUAGUGGUUAGAGCGUAGAGGUUGCAGGUAGC